rnacentral:snRNA from 1 species
GGAUGCAAGGGCAACACAGCUGCGGCAGCUGCCGUCCCCACUGACUGCCAGGGUUGAUUCACAGAUCUGGCUGGCUGGGGAGUGUCCUCUUCUCCCUUCCCUACUCCAAGUGUAUCCUCCCCAAAGCUUUGUGUUCACUGGAAACAGACAACCAUUACAGAUAGGAGUGUACCAUUUUUGGGUCAAGCUGACCAAACAAGCUGAAGCUUCAACUGUAGAAUGGUU